rnacentral:rRNA from 1 species
GACGAACGCUGGCGGCGUGCUUAACACAUGCAAGUCGAACGCUGAAGCUCAGCUUUUGUUGGGUGGAUGAGUGGCGAACGGGUGAGUAACACGUGAGUAACCUGCCCCCUUCUUUGGGAUAACGCCCGGAAACGGGUGCUAAUACUGGAUAUUCACUGGUCUUCGCAUGGGGGUUGGUGGAAAGGGUUUUUCUGGUGGGGGAUGGGCUCGCGGCCUAUCAGCUUGUUGGUGGGGUGAUGGCCUACUAAGGCUUUGACGGGUAGCCGGCCUGAGAGGGUGACCGGUCACAUUGGGACUGAGAUACGGCCCAGACUCCUACGGGAGGCAGCAGUGGGGAAUAUUGCACAAUGGGCGCAAGCCUGAUGCAGCGACGCCGCGUGAGGGAUGGAGGCCUCCGGGUUGUGAACCUCUUUCGCUCAUGGUCAAGCCGCAACAAUGGUUGUGGUGAGGGUAGUGGGUAAAGAAGCGCCGGCUAACUACGUG